rnacentral:tRNA from 1 species
GGCAGUGUGGCAUAGUGGUUUGAGUGUUGGAUUAUGACUCUGGAGACCAGGGUUUGAUUCCCAGUUCAUCCA